rnacentral:lncRNA from 1 species
GUACGGAAAGGGCAGCUGUAACUACUACCCAGAAACAGAGAGAGAGGCUGUACCUACUACCCCAGAACAGAGAGAGAGCUGUAACUACUACCCAGAACAGAGGAGCAGAGAGAGAGGAGAGCUGUAACUACUACCCAGAAGAACAGAGAGAGAGAGCUGUAACUACUACCCAGAACAGCGAGAGAGAAGGCUGUCACUCCUACACAGAACGAGAGAGAGAGAGAGCUGUAACUACUACCAGAACAGAGAGAGAGAGAGCUUGUAACUACUACCCAGAACAGGAGAGAGAGAGCUGUACCUACUACCCAGAACAGAGAGAGAGCUGUAACUACUACCCAGAACAAAGAGAGAGAGAUGAGGGAGCUGUACCUACUACCCAGAACAGAGAGAGAGAGAGCUGUAACUACUACCCAGAACAGAGAGAGAGAGAGCUGUAACUACUACCCAGAACAGAGAGAGAGAGCUGUAACUACUACCCCAGAACAGAGAGAGAGCUUUGAACUUACUACCGAACAGAGCGAGGAGAGGCUCUUGUAAAUACUCUCCAGAACAGAGAGAGAGCUGUAACUACUACCCAGAACAGAGAGAGAGAGCUGUAACUACUACCCAGAACAGAGAGAGAGAGCUGGAAGCUUACUACUACCCGAACAAGAGAGAGAGAGCGCGUUUAACUACUACCCAGAACAGAGAGGAGCGUGUAACUACUACCAGAACAGAGAGAGAGCUUUAGAGGGAGAGCGUGUACUACUACCCAGAACAGAGGAGAGAGCUUGUAACUACUAUCCAGAAACAGAAGGAGAGCUGUAACUACUACCCAGAACAGAACA